rnacentral:rRNA from 1 species
GACGAACGCUGGCGGCGUGCUUAACACAUGCAAGUCGAACGGAAAGGCCCUGCUUUUGUGUGGUGCUCGAGUGGCGAACGGGUGAGUAACACGUGAGUAACCUGCCCUUGACUUUGGGAUAACUUCAGGAAACUGGGGCUAAUACCGGAUAGGAGCUCCUGCUGCAUGGUGGGGGUUGGAAAGUUUCGGCGGUUGGGGAUGGACUCGCGGCUUAUCAGCUUGUUGGUGGGGUAGUGGCUUACCAAGGCUUUGACGGGUAGCCGGCCUGAGAGGGUGACCGGGCACAUGGGGACUGAGAUACGGACCAGACUCCUACGGGAGGCAGCAGUGGGGAAUAUUGCACAAUGGGCGGAAGCCUGAUGCAGCAACGCCGCGUGCGGGAUGACGGCCUUCGGGUUGUAAACCGCUUUCGCCUGUGACGAAGCGUGAGUGACGGUAAUGGGUAAAGAAGCACCGGCUAACUACGUG